rnacentral:lncRNA from 1 species
GUGGCGGUGUGAGUUGGUCCUAGGAGGUUUUGAGAGCAUAAUAUAGCGAAGGAAAGACAAAAAAAUUGGCGUUUCAAAUAUUUGUGUUGCUAGAUUUCCAUAUAUCAAUUGUGCAGCAAAUGGAUGGACUUCUAUUUUUUUUUGAUGAAAAGGGAGGAUAAACCAUCCUUUUUUAUUUGAAUGAGAAGAGAGUGUAACUC